CAGGCAGCAUGUUUGGGGAGAGACGAAUGGGAGGAGACAUUUCAGGAAAGGGACCAUGGUGCUUUUAAGUUGGCGAGGUUGGAGACGCAGAGGGAAUGGCUGUGAUAGGAAACAGACCAAUGUUAUCAAGGUUUCAGAGCUUUGGAGAAGUCAACUCAAUGUGAUAAUUGCCUGAACUCUUCAAUUGGUUAAGUUGCCAGGAAAUAUUUUAGGAAGAUGUUUGCCAAGGUGACAGAAUUAUUAUCCAAACAGAAGAUAACAAUCAAAGUCGACCCAGUUUUCACUGAUCCAUACAAACAAAGUGAACUUCAUAAAAAGAUAAAGGACGUAAUGACGUUGUUGAAGAAGUCAGUCGAAGGAAGAGAGAGAGAGAAGAAGGGAGAGAGACACCAGCCUGCUAGUGUUCUCUAUCGAUGGAUGAGAAACAAUAACUGUGUCUGCCACAGAAAUCCAUGUAUGGAAUUUGGAAGUAAUCCGGUGGAGUUCACUUUGUUGCUGACCUGUAGAAGGAAACAGGUAUUUGUGUGGACGACCACGAUUCGGAUGCUUUUCGGGGUGAGGAAGUCACUACCGAGUAAACACUGAAGUGUCGUUUGGGUUCCAUCGUGGAACAUUUGGAUUUUGUAAUUACUCUCUCUAUGUUCUCUACAUCUACGUCUUAUCUUCAGACAACGGUGGUUGUUGAAGAAGCCUUUGCUCAUGUUUCACCUUAUGGCUUGCGGAACUGAACUUUAAGAACCAUUCCUGGACUUGGAGUUUGGGACUUUGCCACACACACACGAAGAGUUUAGUUUUUGGGGUUAAUGUUCAAGGUUUAACAUUUUUGAAUUCUAACAUACUAACAUUUUUACUUUUAUUUUACGUAUUAUCAUAAGUAGUGAUU